rnacentral:lncRNA from 1 species
GCAGAGGCAGGCGGAUUUCUGAGUUCGAGGCCAGCCUGGUCUACAGAGUGAGUUCCAGGACAGCCAGGGCUACACAGAGAAACCCUGUCUUGAAAAAAACCAAAAAAAAAAAAGUCCCUUUCAUUGUAAAGCCCAUCAGAAAUCAGUUGGGAGUGUUUCCUGCCAUGCAUGAAGCCUUGGAUCCACCCCAGCGUUGUGUGAACUGGGUGUGGGAGUGUGGGAGUGCACUCUUACAGUCCCAGCACUCUGGAGCUGAGGGCAGAGAAGUUCAAGGCAAUCCUUUACAUAAUAGAGUUUCAGAUCAGCCUGUGACACGCUAGAUUGUAUAGAUAACAUGCAUAUAUUGCUCAGUAACACAUGUAUAUGUAUCUAUAGCUGAAAAGAUAAUAUAUCUUCUAUAUUUGGCCUAAGCUGUAAUACUUUAGAUUGUUGUUCGUGUUGUUUCUGAAGCGGGAGGGAUCUCAUUAUGAGGAACUCACUGUGCAGACUUGUGCUCCUUCUGGUCUGGCCUCCCAAGGCUUGGCUUACAUACAGACAUGCACAGUGUGCCCAGCCAAGUUACAGCAAUGUAGUAAAUAACGGAAUUACUCUGAUCUGUAGCAUGUGCUUUGCUGGUAAGUACAUAAGAAAAAUGUAUCAAUCACAAAAUCCACAAGAAAUACCGAUUAUAAAAAUGCUUGAUGUAAAAGAAGUAGAAAUUACUCCUCAGGAGCCAAGAGCAAGGGCAGUCAGGAGGCCCAUCCAGAGCUCAGUGCCUCUCCUUAGAGACCUGGCUGCCCGCUCUUGUAAGAUGCUCUUCUACCUCAUUGCUUCUGAGUCCUUGUUUCAUGUGGUGUGGGUUAGAGAACUUUCCCAUUCUUUCCCACAGUUCUACUGGGUGUCAAAAAGGCACUUCACCUGAGGCCUUGUGUGGCUUACUACAGGAUAAUUCUCAUGGGACAGACACACACUCCAUCUAUGUGUCAAGUGGACGUGUUAACAUGCUUACAAAAUGAAGUGGGGAUUUCUGGUUGUGUCGUGUGAUGUAUUUCUGGAAAUUGUCUUAUGAGAGGAUGUUUGGCUGAAGCAGACAUGUGAGAGGAUGUCUUGCUGAGCAGACGCGUGCUGUUCUGGAAGUUGCCUGGUGAAAGGGCAUGUGGUGCUUUGCUGGAGAGAAUGCCUGGGAGGCAUGUGGUGUUUGGAAAGAGUAUAACAGACCAACAGACAGUAAAUGACACUCUUGCGUUGGUUCGCCUUGCAACUCUUGGUUGGUCUUCAUUGUGCUUCGCUGACACUGGCCUUCACCGUUGACACUCUUGCAUUGCUUCUCCUUUGCUUUCUUCCAUGACCUUCACUUGUCGUGACUCCAUAGAGAGAAACGCACCAAAGAACUUCUGCUGGUAUUCUGGCUGCUGCUCGCGGCUUCCACAGCCUCAUACCAGUUGGCGGAGCCUUGCAGUUUCUUCUAGAUCAAGUCACUGCUACUGAUUUGGUGUUUUGCCAGUGGACUAGACUGCUGACAACGAAGAUUGGAAUCGCUCCAAAGAACUAUUUCUGAACAUGUCCACAGCCGCCCUUUCCUAUUUCUUGUCCCCUUGUAGUGGGCUAGAAGGGAGGUUGAAGCAUUAAUGAACCAUAAUUAAAGUAGGUUUUGAAAAAAUCUAAGCCUACAACAAAAUGCAGAGGUGUCCUCAAGGGACUGGUGAGCCGCUCAGCCAUGUCCUAGAAAGCCCACUUGCUUUCUGUAGUCACACCAGCUUUAUUCUCAGGUCCACUUCACGGAGACAGAGAGCCCUGGCUCUGGGUUUCACAUAGAUGCGAUACCCUCUGUUGUAGGGGGCAGCUCAGAAGAGCUUUGGUGUUUGUUUUCCAUAAGUUUAGCUCCUUUCUACCCCAGGCCAGAUCAGAUCACAUGAAGUUUCUAAGCCACCCUCUUGGCAAGAAAUGCCAACUCAUAAAUAAGUAGCCAGAAUCAAUGAAUAUGAAAGAGAUUUAUCCUAAACAUUGUAGCCAAUUAAGGUCCUUCCCAGAGCUGGAGAGAGGAUCAGAGUACUCUGUAGCAAACUAGUGGAGAAAAAUGGAUACCAGAAUUAAAAUUAUCAAGAAUAUAUCACCAGGCGUGGUGGCGCACGCCUUUGAUCCCAGCACUUGGGAGGCAGAGGCAGGUGGGUUUCUGAGUUCGAGGCCAGCCUGGUCUACAGAGUGUGUUCCAGGACAGCCAGGGGAACACAGAGAAACCCUGUCUCG